rnacentral:rRNA from 1 species
UACUCCUACGGGAGGCAGCAGUGAGGAAUUUUGCGCAAUGGGGGAAACCCUGACGCAGCAACGCCGCGUGGGUGAAGAAGGCCUUCGGGUCGUAAAGCCCUGUCAGGUGGGAAGAACCGGCAGGUGGGGAACACUCAUCUGCUCUGACGGUACCACCAGAGGAAGCACCGGCUAACUCCGUGCCAGCAGCCGCGGUAAU